rnacentral:rRNA from 1 species
ACAGCUCAUCGAGCCAACCCGUCUCUGUUACAAAAGAGUGGGAAGAUUUUCAAGUAGAGGUGAUAAACCUACCGAGCCUAGAGAUAGCUGGUUACUCAGAAAAAGGAUAUUAGUCCCACCUUAAAUCUCUUUUUACCAUAUAAUACACCAACAGAUUUAAGAGCUAUUCAAAUAAGGUACAGCUUAUUUGAAACAGGAUACAACCUACCACACAGGGUAAUGAGAAUUAAUAUGAUUAAGUAGGCCUAAAAGCAGCCAUCUUUAAUAAAGCGUUAAAGCUACAUCACACUAAACACCAAUCCCAAUCAACACUCAAAACCCUUCAUUAGUACUGAGUGACUCCAUAACUCUAUGGAAAACCUUCUGUUAGAACUAGUAACAAGAAAUAGACUUCUCCAACAAUGUAAGUGUAACCCAAAAUGAACCCAUCAUUGGCACUCACCGUUCAUGAAUUUAUAGUAUUAACACAACAUGAAAACCCUACUAACCAAAACGUUAACCUUACACCAGAACCUUUCAGGAAAGAUUAAAAAACAUGGAAGGAACUCGGCAAAUAACAACCCCGCCUGUUUACCAAAAACAUCGCCUCCUGUUACCCAUAGAAGGUCCAGCCUGCCCAGUGAACUAAUUAAACGGCCGCGGUACCCUAACCGUGCAAAGGUAGCACAAUCACUUGUUCUUUAAAUAAGGACUAGUAUGAACGGCAUCACGAGGGUUAUACUGUCUCCCCUGUUCAAUCAGUGAAACUAAUCUCCCCGUGAAGAAGCGGGGAUACUUUUAUAAGACGAGAAGACCCCAUGGAGCUUUAAACCCAGUAUCACUUGCAUCCAUUAUAUCAUAUUAAUAAGCAAACCUGACUACUAGUUUUUGGUUGGGGUGACCGCGGAGCAAAAUAAAACCUCCAUGACGAAUAGAACUACUUCUAAUCAAAGAGCUACAACUCGCAGAAUCAACAUAUUGACUAAAAUUGACCCAAUAAUUUUGAACAACGAACCAAGUUACCCUGGGGAUAACAGCGCAAUCCAUUUCAAGAGCCCCUAUCGACA